rnacentral:rRNA from 1 species
GGGCCCGCACAAGCGGUGGAGCAUGUGGUUUAAUUCGAAGCAACGCGAAGAACCUUACCAGGUCUUGACAUCCCGAUGCUAUUUCUAGAGAUAGAAAGUUUCUUCGGAACAUCGGUGACAGGUGGUGCAUGGUUGUCGUCAGCUCGUGUCGUGAGAUGUUGGGUUAAGUCCCGCAACGAGCGCAACCCUUAAGCUUAGUUGCCAUCAUUAAGUUGGGCACUCUAAGUUGACUGCCGGUGACAAACCGGAGGAAGGUGGGG